rnacentral:rRNA from 1 species
UACGUAGGGGGCAAGCGUUGUCCGGAUUUAUUGGGCGUAAAGAGCGUGUAGGCGGCCAGGUAGGUCCGUUGUGAAAACUCGAGGCUCAACCUCGAGACGUCGAUGGAAACCAUCUGGCUAGAGUCCGGAAGAGGAGAGUGGAAUUCCUGGUGUAGCGGUGAAAUGCGCAGAUAUCAGGAAGAACACCCGUGGCGAAGGCGGCCCUCUGGGACGGUACUGACGCUGAGACGCGAAAGCGUGGGGAGCGAACAGG